CCCGCCGCAGGGCGGCUACCCGCCGCCUUCCCAGGGCGGCUACCCGCAGGGCGGCGGUUACCCGCCGCCGCAGGGC
rnacentral:tRNA from 1 species